rnacentral:lncRNA from 1 species
AGGAGAAGAAACAAUGCAUACAUAAGAUAGAAUUAUCAAUUGCAAUAUUUUCUUUGAUAUAAUACAAAAGACAUAUAGCAUUCUUGGGUGUUUUAGUUGAUCAAGGGACAAUUAAUUGUGUGAUCUUAAUGUGAAAAUUCAUGUGGAUAGUCUUUUUUCAUGUUUAAAUCCUCCAAUAUGGAUUAAUUCCAAUUAGAUUAGUCUAGAAUAAAUAAAAUCAUAAUUCAUUG